rnacentral:rRNA from 1 species
GACGAACGCUGGCGGCGCGCUUAACACAUGCAAGUCGAACGAUGAAGCUAGAGCUUGCUCUGGUGAAUUAGUGGCGAACGGGUGAGUAACACGUGAGUAACCUGCCCCGAACUCUGGGAUAACUGCUGGAAACGGUAGCUAAUACUGGAUACGACCUACGAAGGCAUCUUCUGUAGGUGGAAAGAAUUUCGGUUCGGGAUGGACUCGCGGCCUAUCAGCUUGCUGGUGAGGUAAUGGCUCACCAAGGCGACGACGGGUAGCCGGCCGGAGAGGGUGACCGGCGACACUGGGACUGAGACACGGCCCAGACUCCUACGGGAGGCAGCAGUGGGGAAUAUUGCACAAUGGGCGCAAGCCUGAUGCAGCAACGCCGCGUGAGGGAUGACGGCCUUCGGGUUGUAAACCUCUUUUAGUAGGGAAGAAGCGAAAGUGACGGUACCUGCAGAAAAAGCACCGGCUAACUACGUGCCAGCAGCCGCCGUAA